CGCCAUGCCGCGUGAGUGAUGGAAAGGCCGUUCGGGUUAGUAAAACUCUUCGACGGGACGAUAAUGACGGUACCCGUAGAAGAAAGCUCCGGCUAACUUCGUGC
rnacentral:rRNA from 1 species